rnacentral:rRNA from 1 species
UACGUAGGGGGCGAGCGUUGUCCGGAUUCAUUGGGCGUAAAGAGCUCGUAGGCGGUUUGGUAAGUCGGGUGUGAAAACCCCAGGCUCAACCUGGGGACGCCACCUGAUACUGCUAUGACUUGAGUCUGGUAGGGGAUCACGGAACUCCUGGUGUAGCGGUGAAAUGCGCAGAUAUCAGGAGGAACACCAAUGGCGAAGGCAGCACUCUGGGACGUGACUGACGCUGAGGCACGAAAGCCGGGGGAGCAAACAGG